UACGAAGGGGGGCUAGCGUUGCUCGGAAUCACUGGGCGUAAAGCGCACGUAGGCGGCUUUUUUAAGUCAGGGGUGAAAUCCUGGAGCUCAACUCCAGAACUGCCUUUGAUACUGGUGAGCUUGAGUCCGGAAGAGGUGAGUGGAACUGCGAGUGUAGAGGUGAAAUUCGUAGAUAUUCGCAAGAACACCAGUGGCGAAGGCGGACUCACU
rnacentral:rRNA from 1 species